AACGAACGCUGGCGGCAGGCUUAACACAUGCAAGUCGAACGCCCCGCAAGGGGAGUGGCAGACGGGUGAGUAACGCGUGGGAACAUACCCUUUCCUGCGGAAUAGCUCUGGGAAACUGGAAUUAAUACCGCAUACGCCCUACGGGGGAAAGAUUUAUCGGGGAAGGAUUGGCCCGCGUUGGAUUAGCUAGUUGGUGGGGUAAAGGCCUACCAAGGCGACGAUCCAUAGCUGGUCUGAGAGGAUGAUCAGCCACAUUGGGACUGAGAAACGGCCCAAACUCCUACGGGAGGCAGCAGUGGGGAAUAUUGGACAAUGGGCGAAAGCCUGAUCCAGCAAUGCCGCGUGAGUGAUGAAGGCCUUAGGGUUGUAAAGCUCUUUUACCAGGGAUGAUAAUGACAGUACCUGGAGAAUAAGCUCCGGCUAACUCCGUGCCAGCCGCCGCCGUAAUAC
rnacentral:rRNA from 1 species